ACUAUUCCAGUAUUUCGUUUUCUAAGAGCAGAAUGUUUCUAAUAAAUUCUGAAAUCUUUGACUCAACAACUUAAAUAUUAACCCUUCCACCCAUUCUCCUAAACUUACUAACUUGAGCUGAAGAAUCCCCACACUGCUUUUUGGUACAGAGAAAGAUGUUUAAAUGAUAAGCAUUGUGAGGCCAAGUUUUGGUCGUUAAAGAGUCCCAAUACUCCAGUUCAAUGCCUGACCCUGAAUCACGA
rnacentral:lncRNA from 1 species